rnacentral:lncRNA from 1 species
AAGACAAAGGGCAUCCCUGUGGUCCCACCUGAUCAGCUGACACCACAGCAGCGAGGAUUGUGGGAGGAUCCCUCAGGACGGACAGGUCAUGUGGACAGGAAUGAUUAUUUUUCUUAUAGAUUAGUGGAUGUUCUGAUUAAUUACAUUUUAUAAAUACAUGUUUUAUGUGUUUCUUUUGCCUAAAAAAGUGUAAAUAAUUCAAAGAAAAUCAGCCGGAUCCUCUCCGGAUGGUUGUGAAGGACGGACUGUGUGCUUUCCACCUUUUCUGCUGCUGUUUGUUGUUUGCUCCUCUCUAGUUACACUGGCGGAAACCGCACAUUGGGGCUAACUGGACUACACUGCAGCCGUAAUGGCAUCUGUCUGCUCUUCUGCCCUACACAAACGGUACUGGGUUGAAUCUGAUAUACAUUCCUUGAAAGCCACGUUUUUUUUUUAUCAUGUUUCGCUCCCCUUUAUGUUCUAUUCAGGUGAAGUGGAGCCUAUCACAGGAUUAUCUCACUAUGGAGGGUUUAUGAUCAUCACUCGGUUUAUGAUGUUUCUUAUUUAACAGUUUUGGUGUCAAAAUCAUCUGGGAUGUACCAUUUUUUUGUAUCUAGGACAAAUUGUAUCAUCCAAAAACACUUGUACCAAAAAAAUAACAGCACAUGACUAACCCACAAAGACGAAAGGAACAAAGUUACACACACACAAUUAAUUCAAUUGGACUUAUUUCACGGCGAGCUUCAUGACAGACCGCUCUUUAUGUUCUGUGAAACAGAAUUAUCACACUCCAAAGUGAUGACAGCGUCAGCAUUCGGACUCUUAUGGAACACGGUUUAAUGAAACAAACUAAAGCUGAUUCCU